rnacentral:misc_RNA from 1 species
UCAGUGUGUCACCUUGAUGG